rnacentral:rRNA from 1 species
UCUUCCCUCUUUCUUCGUGCCUAAUACAUGCAAGUCGAGCGAACGGACGAGAAGCUUGCUUCUCUGAUGUUAGCGGCGGACGGGUGAGUAACACGUGGAUAACCUACCUAUAAGACUGGGAUAACUUCGGGAAACCGGAGCUAAUACCGGAUAAUAUUAUGAACCGCAUGGUUCAAAAGUGAAAGACGGUCUUGCUGUCACUUAUAGAUGGAUCCGCGCUGCAUUAGCUAGUUGGUAAGGUAACGGCUUACCAAGGCAACGAUGCAUAGCCGACCUGAGAGGGUGAUCGGCCACACUGGAACUGAGACACGGUCCAGACUCCUACGGGAGGCAGCAGUAGGGAAUCUUCCGCAAUGGGCGAAAGCCUGACGGAGCAACGCCGCGUGAGUGAUGAAGGUCUUCGGAUCGUAAAACUCUGUUAUUAGGGAAGAACAUAUGUGUAAGUAACUGUGCACAUCUUGACGGUACCUAAUCAGAAAGCCACGGCUAACUACGUG